rnacentral:rRNA from 1 species
AGGAUUAACGCUGGCGGCGUGCCUAACACAUGCAAGUCGAACGAGGUAGCAAUACCUAGUGGCAGACGGGUGAGUAACGCGUGGUCAACCUACCGUUGAGUGGGGGAUAACUAGCCGAAAGGUUAGCUAAUACCGCAUACGAGUCUCGGGGGCAUCCCUGAGCCUUAAAAGGAGCAAUCCGCUCGAUGACGGGACCGCGUCCCAUUAGCUAGAUGGUGGGUAACGGCCUACCAUGGCACCGAUGGGUAGCUGGUUUGAGAGAGCGACCAGCCACACUGGGACUGAGAAACGGCCCAGACUCCUACGGGAGGCAGCAGUGAGGAAUUUUCCGCAAUGGGCGAAAGCCUGACGGAGCGACGCCGCGUGUGGGAAGAAGGCCUUCGGGUCGUAAACCACUGUCGAAGGGGACGAUAAUGACGGUACCCUUGGAGGAAGCCCCGGCUAACUACGUGCCAGCAGCCGC